GAUGAACGCUGGCGGCGUGCCUAAUACAUGCAAGUCGAGCGAACAGAUGAGGAGCUUGCUCCUCUGACGUUAGCGGCGGACGGGUGAGUAACACGUGGAUACCCUACCUAUAAGACUGGGAUAACUUCGGGAAACCGGAGCUAAUACCGUAUAAUAUCUUGCACCGCAUGGUUCAAUAGUGAAAGACGGUUUUGCUGUCACUUAUAGAUGGAUCCGCGCCGCAUUAGCUAGUUGGUAAGGUAACGGCUUACCACGGCAACGAUGCGUAGCCGACCUGAGAGGGGGGUCGGCCACACUGGAACUGAGACACGGUCCAUACGCCUACGGGAGGCAGCAGUAGGGAAUCUUACGCAAUGGGCGAAAGCCUGACGGAGCAACGCCGCGUGAGUGAUGAAGGUCUUCGGAUCGGAAAACUCUGUUAUUAGGGAAAAACAAAUGUGGAAGUAACUAUGCACGGCGUGACGGUACCGAAUCAGAAAGCCACGGCUAACUACGUG
rnacentral:rRNA from 1 species